AUUUAAGUAGUUUAAUUAAAAUACUGAUUUGUGGUGUCGGUGAAACAAAUUUAUUUGUCUUAGAUC
rnacentral:tRNA from 1 species